AAUUCCCUCUUCCAUACACGCUUAUGAUGGAAAGAUGUAUAAAUUGUGUUUUCUUUCCUUUUGUUAAUAGUUAGUUUGCUUGUAAGGUCCGCUUGUCAUCACUGACCACACACAGUGACUUGGGAUGACAGGCAGCAGGUUGUGCUUGACUUUACUGAAACAAAUGGAAAUCCUAUCACAGUUCAGCAAAAUAAUAACAUAGAAAGUUCACACUAAGAAGGCAAGACUUGUCUCGUAUUAACACCAGGUCUGCAUGUGUUUUCUGUCCUGUGACUAUUAUUUAAAUUAGUUAUACUUGUAACCAUAGAAAAAUAUGUUUACAUGCAGAUGAAUCAGCUGUUCCAUCCAUGUUCCCGCUUCAGUGCAGAUUCAUAUCUGUUCGAGGACACUCAGAGAGAGCAACCUGAUCCAUUUUAACUCAUGUUGUUCUCUUUCAUGCGCUCUACAGAAGGGCAGAAAUUCACACCUAUUUAAAAAAAGACAUGAUUUCCAGAAUAUUCUUUGUGCCUCUCUGUGUAGAAUAUAGGAAAAUAUGUGUUCUGUUGAUGUCUCCAUUCCUGGAAACCAGGACCAAUAUUUGAUACUAGUAAUUUAACUUGAGAAUGAUAACAGAUAGUUUCUUAACGUCUUGCUUUAAUUUCAGAAAACUCUACAAAAAACAAUACUAAAAUUGUUAUAUAUGUGUAGGCCGUGAACUGUAAGCAGCAAAAGUUGUGGUAACAUAAAAUAUACAAAAUUAGGAUUUACUAUUGAAAAUGUAUCCACAAAUUUCAAGUAAAGUUUAAUGAAAAGAUUUCUGCAAUGCAUAUUUAUUCAUUCUUAAUUUCUAAUCUGCAUAGAGUUGUGUAAAGAGGAGUGAGCGAUUUCUGAAUGCUGCCCAGGUGGUGCUUAUUCAAAUAUAUCAAAGCUUCCAUGUCAAAUAUAAUAUUCUGUUUCUCCUUUUAAAAUACUGCAAUAUGAGAAUGAAAAAAAAAUUCAAGAGCAAGCAAGGAUGAAGAUCCCCCCCCCCUUUAGGGAUAUAGUUCUAUGGACCAGGAUUUCUAAGAUAUAAUUAGGGAAAUCAUGAAAGAAAGGCUAAUGAGCUGAGAGAGGCAUACUGACUCAGGCAUUCAUGACACUUGGUGCUAUCUGCUCCCUUACUUAACUAUUUAUAAGCGAUUUUUCACUGUACGUAAUGAGUGCAGUUAUGUGCUUUAAAACCACAGCUUAGCGUCAAGUAGAACUUUCCCUGUCAAGUCUUAUGACAGAUAUAUAAUCUUAAUUUGCAGUUUGUAAAGAAUCAAGGUAUUAUGGCUGUCAGCGAUUUUAGAUAAAAUACAAAUUUUUAAUUUUUAUAGCAUUCUUUAAGUUUAAAUAUGAUUCAGAAGAGUCUUCGGCUUAUUACACCUUUUAAAGAUAAUUUGUGUAUAGACAAGGGUGAUAAUUGUGUUAUGAAUUGGCUGGAAGAGAGUAUGGUACCAUAUUGUCUAUCUGGCUCAUUGUAUCCACCUAGAGGAUGAGUGAGUAACCAUGACAACAGGAUGAUUAUAUUUACAAAUUUGCCUUUUUUUGGUUUUAUGUCCACAAAUUAAUACACAGACAUAUUUAAACACACACACACACACACACACACAAACACACACUCACUCACACACACACACUCACACACAUACAUAAAUGGAUUAUCUGAAGGCUGGUUUGGUUCUUUCUGUUAAGUUAUGUUGCCUCACUGAUGUACCAUGAUAUCAGUAUACAAGAGAAAGUAAAACACGUGGAUUCAGUUUGGAUGUAUAGAAAUUCAGUUUUUUUAAAUUGUUAAUUUUUAUUAGCUCUGUUUUUCUUUCUGACUUGAAAAUUUGAAUGUCAAGUCUGCUUUAUGUAAUGUUCUUCAGCUAAAAUUAUGCUCCUUUUUCCCCAAUACAAUACACUAGGUUUGGUUUCAAAAUCGAAGGGCCAAGUGGAGAAAAAGAGAACGAUACGGCCAAAUACAGCAAGCUAAAAGCCAUUUCGCUGCCACGUACGACAUAUCAGUCUUACCAAGGACGGACAGCUACCCACAGGUAUGGUCCAUGACACAGAAUGCUCUCGCAGGGCAGUGGGUGUGGCUUGAUUCAGAGAGUGAGCUUAGGGUUUUAUUACACCAACUGCAAUAGUAAGGAGUGAAAGUCUAGUCUCCAGAAAACUUUUUCCAUGUUUAACAAAUUUUUAUCUACUAAAUUAUUCAUUUAUUUUUAUUAUUUUCUUUCAGAGUCAGUCACUGAAAAAUAUUUCAUGGUCUGUGCCUUUUGGGUUUGCUAUACAUUGC
rnacentral:lncRNA from 1 species